CCAGCUGGGGGUGGGAGAGAGGGGAAGAGGAGGUGGGUCUUCUCCAUCCUGAAAGUCGUGAGAGACUCCGAGAAAACAGGAGAGGGGAAGCCCUGGCCCCCAACACCCAGAAUGUGACUGCAUUUGGAGAGAGGGCCCUGAAAGGGGUGAUUACAUUAAAAUGAGGCCGGUAGGGCUCUGCUCCAAUGGGACUGGUGUUCUUACUGUAAGAGAUUAGAACACAGAAGGAAAGGUACCAGGCAGCCAUGUGCACCGAGGGGUGGUGCAGUGACAAAGCGGCAUGAGGCAGCCAAGGAGGGAGGUCUUGGGGAUUCUGUUACCGCGCCCUGAGCAGACUAACACCGGGGUGCCGUGCUGGGGACGUGUGUUUACCACACAGGGAUUAAAGGGUGAGGACAGUGCCGGUGCUAGGAGGACGGUCACUUUGUUCUUUUACAGAGAGAGCAGUGACCUGAGGCUUCACGAUGCAGCUUUUACUCCAAGGCUGCUUCUAAAGAAACGACAGGUUCUUUGGACUCACCUAUAUCCCUGUAUCACACUGGUUCGUAACUAACCACGAACUGGACAAUUAUCACAGCUUUGAAGUUACUUUAGGAAUAAUGAUAGUUGAGCAAAGUGACAUUCUUCAUAACCAAGACACCUGCCUCAGACCUUUGCCGGGGUCAUAGGGCUUUUGGGUUUAUUUCUCAGCUUUAGGCGUAACCAUAACUGAGGACAACAUGGGACCUGCCCAUCUCGCCUCCCCGAGGGACCAGGUGUUGGGCUGGAGCUGUGAAGAUCAACAAGCUAAAAUCUACGUCCUCAAGUGGUUACAUACAACAGAGUGUGCCAGAUAAGUACCGAAGAGAGAGAUUCAAGGGCUUGCUUCUUGAAUGUUGAAUUUAGUAACCUGAACCUCGGACAGCAGACCUUGCAGAAAGCAGCUGGUUUAGAAAAAGACAAAGACGUUCGGCUUUGCACCAAGGAAGAAAUGGGCUUGAACCUAAGUUCUGCCACUCAGCAGCUGUGUGCUCUCAGUUCUCUUAUCUGUCAGGUGCUUGUAACAUCUACGUUGCAGGGCAGUUGUGAGCUGACUACAGUAUCUGGCACAUUUUAAAAAAAACUAUCUUGCCAGAGUUUAGUCAGCAAGCCCAUGAAAGAGAUUCAUGGUUUAAACUUUUCAUUUAAGGUUCAUCAAACAUUUCAUUUUAUGAUAAUGCCAUUAAGCCAAAUCAAAAUGCAAAGUUUCAACAUCUGAGUAAAGGGGAAGAAAAUAAAUUUAAAAGAACAUAUUGUAGAACUGGCAUUCCAUAAAUCACCCUUUGGGAAAAGCCACUGUAAUGGAUAAAACUUCCCAAGACACACAUGUAGAAAUAAUAAAUAAUGCCCUUUUCCCCAGGAAUCUAUAAGGAAGCAGCUACCACACUUCAAGCAAACAUCUUUAUCACAGGUUCUGUUCUGACUCCCAAACUUUAGCUUUUUGUAUGUAGCACCAAAUUGCUCUCUCUGGCUUUCCUCCACUCUUUUUAGUGUCAGCCAGGAAACACUGACUAUUGCUGCUACCAGAAGCCUAGAGAAACAAGCCACCCUAAUACCUGAUGAUCAAGCACCCUUUCAUUUUAGAACAAUUAAAGGUCCGCCCCAUUCUACACCAGUUUAAACCCAAUACCUGUUUGCCGUUGUGAGUGACGGACGACAGGAUCGUCCUCAGAGUCUUGAAGCCCAUGGCGAUGUCCAGCAGAUGAGCAGCGAAGAAGAAGUUGUUGUAGUGGCCCAGGACUGACAUGGUCGUGUACCAGGCGAGGUAGAGGAAGGACUGGGGGAUGGAAGAAAUGUAGCAGCUUUUCAGGCAUUCAUGCCUCGUGAUGUGCUCAUUAAACCAACUGUUCUCAUCUUUGGGGGCAGAGUGAGGAUAGAGGGUGUUUAGGUGCCGAGGAGCUGUGAGCCGGCCCCAGACCUGCCAGUGAAACCCCACGUGUCUUACACUAUUGCACGAGACAGUCUUGCUCCCCCUGCGUCUGUACCAAGGACUCCAUGAGUCUUCCUGGGCCCCCUCCAUAGCUUGUUUAUUUGCGGCAUCUAAUGACAUACCUGGACUUGGGGCAGAGGAUUGUGCUUUUCCAGAUGCCAUACUUACGUUGUCGGUAAAAACAACUCCCAGCUUCCAGAUAUGGUACUUCAUGUCGAUGGAACUCAGCCUAAAAGGGAACAAAUAAUUACAAAACUUAUAAAUGUCAAGAUUUAGUUAAGUGUUUAAUAAGGGGAAAAAAUUAAAGUUUUCCUCCUCUCAGGUUUGAGCUUGAUCAAGUUGUAUGUGUUCACCAUGAGAAGGGUUGAAUCACACAUCCUGAAGUUUUAAAUAUUUUUAAAACUUUGGGUUUUUUUUGUGUGGGGUAUUUAGGUUUAUUCGUUUGUUUGUUUGUUUUAAUGGCGAUACUGGGGAUUGAACCCAGGACCUUGUGCAUGCUGACCACACGCUCUACCACUGAGCUAUGCCUUCCCUCCCUGAAAUUUCAGUCUUUCUCUUUCAGCCCUAUCACGCAUGAAGGCUGGUAGGUCUUUAGAUUUUUAAAAGCAGUGCCCUCCUCCCCAUAUAUGAGAACCCAGAAGAAACACUUAGGCCAGACCAGAGCCGGAAAGGACAAAGACACGAUUGUGAGUUUCCCUCCCUAGCACCCGGUGGAGGACUGGAAAGACAGAGGGUCUGUGUGAGCCAGACUUCGGGAUUUAACACCUAAGCUCGUACCAUGACACCAGGGAGGCCGCCUCUGCUUUGGUCUCUUCCACUGGGCUAAAGUCAAGGGCAUUUUUGUCCAAACCCAGCAGUUCUGCAAUGCGUUCCGCUCCGUAGAGGUCUCCGUAUUUGUUGAUCACCUAAAGCAGAAAGGGCGACUGGGUGAGCUCAGGCCACGCGUCACUGCCAAUGUUUCCUCCAGCCCCAGUGUCUUAAGAGUUGUGUUAUACUCUGGGCUCUUCCCAGGGGUCGAUAAAGACAUGAUUCAAAAUGCAACAGGAAAAUAAAGAGAAAAAAAUAACCCCCAGAUCAAACAGAAGUGAUAAAGUCAAUUAAGCAAAAUCUGUUUUUCAAGCCAUCUUUUAGGAGGGGAGAAAGAACCUAGGAGGUUCUUUCUAGAAAGAACCAGGAAACAGUGGUUGUGUUAACUGUUUAAGACAGACGAGUGUGGAACGAACCCUAAACCUACAUACGUCCAUGUAAAACUCCUUCUGUGACUUUUUCUUCUUAUCAACAUAAAAGCAGCAUUGAAUUUAUUCAUGUUUGUCUAUGGAGAACUUAAAAAAAAACUACACUUCUUUCGAGGUCAUGGAAUUCACCCCCACUGACAAGGCAUACCUUUCUCUUGACAAACUUGUCCCAGUAGUUAUUAGGAAAAGAUCUGAAAAAGAAAAUGUAAAAGGGAGAUUCUUAGCAUGAAGGCAAGCACAUCAAGAAACGCUGGGUUUGAGAGUCUGGACCUGUGAUCUUUUAGGGUUUUGUCCUGCUCACUGAAAAAUUCAAGACCUGACUGAAGUUCAGAGUCACCGCAGGUCUGAUUUCUGGUUUCAGUACUUUGUGUUGCCUCCUGAAACACCUGGAAAGCAACUCUGCAUUUUCGGCUUCAAAGAUACGGUGAAGAGCCAGGAAUUGUGGUGACAGACUGGACAGAAGCAGGUAUAUGUGUCUUGAUCUCAGUCUAACUAGAAACCAAAGCCUGUAGGAGACGCAUACAUUCAACCUGGACUCGCUGAGUACCCUCUUUACGGCAGGCAUGGGGCAGGUGCUGAGGACACAGCAGUGGGAGGUGUGGACAGGGUCCCUAACUAUGACGCUUCCAGCCAGGGGAUCACAGUAGCUCUGUCAGCUCUGAAACACGACAGCCCCCUAGUCCAUAAGGCCCAUCAAGUUGGUGAUGAGGAAGGAGGGCCUCCCUCUGUUCCCGGACCUCUCAGAAGAAGAACCCUGAGCCAGUGCCAGCAGAGCAGCAAUCUUUAAACAAGACAACAAAGCAAUUUUCUGGAUAAUUAAAGCGGUCUCUGUCUUAAACAUCCAAAUGCCACCUAAAAGCAAAUGCUGGCUUUAUAGAGUAAACUGCUCCUAGGUUUCAUCUCUGGGGAACGGGAAAAAAUUACUUUGACUUUCUUUGUCCAUUUUUCAGCUAUUUGAUUUUUUUCAUGUAUUGUAUUAUAUUUAGAACCUAAAAUAAACAAACAAAAACAUGCCAGUC